CCGCUUAGCCCUUGGGCCCACCCAGCAACCAGGCCGCAUUGUUCCCAAUGGGCUCUUGACAUCAUGUUGACGCAGGAACACGGGAGGGAGGGGAGAGGUGCAGGGUGAUCGGGCCACACUUGCAGUGAGACACGGCUUCUUGUCCCACGCUCAGGAAGAACUAGAGUCACAGACACAGACGGGAGGUAUAGGUCAUGUUGCCUGAGUCAAUCACUGAGCCAUUACUGCCUCCAUCUCAAAAUAGCCAUUUCGCUGAAGCAGAAAACGGGUGUGCAGUAUUUUGCAUCAUCUUCCCUUUUCCAGUGUAACACAUGCGUAUGCACACGCACCC